UGAGCGGAACACAGACGUGCAGGAG
rnacentral:piRNA from 1 species